GUCUAAGUUCGAGAGUCUAUGGCCACAGUAGUGUGAUUGAUGGAAAAAUUUUUUUACAGAAGUCAUAAUUAGACUUCACCUAAUCGAAUCUAUCAUAUGAUUAAUGUUGAGGUUUGAUGAUUUAUCCAUUACCUGCCAUCUAGUCGGAACUCAUGAUAGAGAGACUGAAUCACAUGUUAACUAUACUUUAAGGUUUAUUUCAGUUCUACUGGGUUACCACUACAUACUGCUAGGUGUCACUGAUG
rnacentral:lncRNA from 1 species